rnacentral:rRNA from 1 species
GGCUGAAAUUACGCCUUCAUGAAGCUGGAAUUGCUAGUAAUGGCAGGUCAGCAUACUGCCGUGAAUACGUUCCCGGGCCUUGUACACACCGCCCGUCACACCAUGAGAGUUGGGAAUACCCGAAGCCUGUGAGCCAACUUUUAAAGAGGCAACAGUCGAAGGUAGAAUCAAUGAUUGGGGUGAAGUCGUAACAAGGUAAC